GACGAACGCUGGCGGCGUGCUUAACACAUGCAAGUCGAACGGUGAAGCUCUAGCUUGCUGGUGUUGCUCAGUGGCGAAAGGGUGCGUAACACGUGUGCAACCUGCUCCUGACUUUGGUAUAAGCUCUGGAAGCGGCGUUUACUCCUGGAUCCGAUAAGGCUCCGCAUUGGCACUUUCUGGAAUUUUUUUCUGUUGGGGAUGGGCUCGCGGCUUACCAGCUUGUUGGUUGGGUAAUGGCUCACCCAGGCGACGAAGGGUACGCGGCAUGAGAGGGCGAACGGCCACACUAGGACUGAGAGACGGACCAGAGUGCUACGGGAGGCAGCAGUGGGGAGUAUUGCACAAUGGGCGAAAGCCUGAUGCAGAGACGCCGCGGGAGGGAUGACGGCCUUCGGGUUGUAAACAUCUGUCAGCAGGGAAGAAGCGAAAGUGACGGUACCUGCAGAAGAAGCACCGGCUAACUACGUG
rnacentral:rRNA from 1 species